GAGCUCUGCCUAUCUGCUAGGGCACCUGCCCCCGCACCAUUUACUGUGCCUCUUUGACUUUGCCAUCUGCCUUCCUGUCGAGAGAUUUCCAUGUCGGGCGGGCUUGCCAGUGAAUUCCCCUCAUACUCCGUUCCGCUUGGCCGCCUGAAUUUACACUGCCUUUUUGAUGAAUCUUUGCUGGAGUUCCAGUCACACUCUAAUUGAUUGGUCUAGAUGUGAGGUUCUGGCCAUCCUCAUCUGCUCCCAUAGCUGAGCGAAAUGGGGCUGUCUGUGACAGCUCGGUGUGCCGCAGAUUGGGCCUGGGCAUCCAUAUUGACUCUCAUGGUCUUGACAUCGGUACCAACCAGUUUAGAGCAUGUCUCCUUGUCAUGUUGGCCACACAGCAGACAGGUGAUGAUGGAUACAGACCACAGCUGCAUGUUGCUCGGAAGACUCUGAUUAUUAGUUUUUCUCAAAGAUGUUGCUUGGAUCUAAGGUAACACAAUUUUUGGUGAGUGUUUUUUUUUUUUUUUCCUAUUUGACGAGGAAACAAAUGGUCACAACAACGUAUACUACUGUGAGGGAUAAAACCUAAUCUUUUAUGGGAGCAACAUGAGCCAGCAAUUUUAAUUUUUAAGUGUGAAAAUGUCUUACUUCUGAAAUAGAAGAUAGGUUUGGAGCUAUGCUUUGUGGUUCUUGUGAUGUGGUUCUUGUGAUACCCUACUGAAUCUCUAG
rnacentral:lncRNA from 1 species